GACGAACGCUGGCGGCGUGCUUAACACAUGCAAGUCGAACGGAAAGGCCCUGCUUUUGUGGGGUGCUCGAGUGGCGAACGGGUGAGUAACACGUGAGUAACCUGCCCUUGACUUUGGGAUAACUUCAGGAAACUGGGGCUAAUACCGGAUAGGAGCUCCUGCUGCAUGGUGGGGGUUGGAAAGUUUCGGCGGUUGGGGAUGGACUCGCGGCUUAUCAGCUUGUUGGUGGGGUAGUGGCUUACCAAGGCUUUGACGGGUAGCCGGCCUGGGAGGGUGACCGGCCACAUUGGGACUGAGAUACGGACCAGAAUCGUACGGGAGGCAGCAGUGGGGAAUAUUGCGCAGUGGGCGGAAGCCUGAUGCAGCGACGCCGCGUGCGGGAUGACGGCCUUCGGGUUGUAAACCGCUUUCGCCUGUGACGAAGCGGGAGUGACGGUAAUGGGUAAAGAAGCACCGGCUAACUACGUG
rnacentral:rRNA from 1 species